rnacentral:rRNA from 2 species
UUAAGCGACCAAGCGUACACGGUGGAUGCCCUGGCAGUCAGAGGCGAUGAAGGACGUGCUAAUCUGCGAUAAGCGCCGGUAAGGUGAUAUGAACCGUUAUAACCGGCGAUUUCCGAAUGGGGAAACCCAGUGUGAUUCGUCACACUAUCAUUAACUGAAUCCAUAGGUUAAUGAGGCGAACCGGGGGAACUGAAACAUCUAAGUACCCCGAGGAAAAGAAAUCAACCGAGAUUCCCCCAGUAGCGGCGAGCGAACGGGGAGGAGCCCAGAGCCUGAAUCAGCAUGUGUGUUAGUGGAAGCGUCUGGAAAGGCGCGCGAUACAGGGUGACAGCCCCGUACACAAAAGCGCACAUGCUGUGAGCUCGAUGAGUAGGGCGGGACACGUGGUAUCCUGUCUGAAUAUGGGGGGACCAUCCUCCAAGGCUAAAUACUCCUGACUGACCGAUAGUGAACCAGUACCGUGAGGGAAAGGCGAAAAGAACCCCGGCGAGGGGAGUGAAACAGAACCUGAAACCGUGUACGUACAAGCAGUGGGAGCACAGGUUUACCUGUGUGACUGCGUACCUUUUGUAUAAUGGGUCAGCGACUUAUAUUCUGUAGCAAGGUUAACCGCAUAGGGGAGCCGAAGGGAAACCGAGUCUUAACCGGGCGUUAAGUUGCAGGGUAUAGACCCGAAACCCGGUGAUCUAGCCAUGGGCAGGUUGAAGGUUGGGUAACACUAACUGGAGGACCGAACCGACUAAUGUUGAAAAAUUAGCGGAUGACCUGUGGCUGGGGGUGAAAGGCCAAUCAAACCGGGAGAUAGCUGGUUCUCCCCGAAAGCUAUUUAGGUAGCGCCUCGUGAAUUCAUCUCCGGGGGUAGAGCACUGUUUCGGCUAGGGGGCCAUCCCGGCUUACCAACCCGAUGCAAACUGCGAAUACCGGAGAAUGUUAUCACGGGAGACACACGGCGGGUGCUAACGUCCGUCGUGAAGAGGGAAACAACCCAGACCGCCAGCUAAGGUCCCAAAGUCAUGGUUAAGUGGGAAACGAUGUGGGAAGGCCCAGACAGCCAGGAUGUUGGCUUAGAAGCAGCCAUCAUUUAAAGAAAGCGUAAUAGCUCACUGGUCGAGUCGGCCUGCGCGGAAGAUGUAACGGGGCUAAACCAUGCACCGAAGCUGCGGCAGCGACGCUUAUGCGUUGUUGGGUAGGGGAGCGUUCUGUAAGCCUGCGAAGGUGGCCUGUGAGGGCUGCUGGAGGUAUCAGAAGUGCGAAUGCUGACAUAAGUAACGAUAAAGCGGGUGAAAAGCCCGCUCGCCGGAAGACCAAGGGUUCCUGUCCAACGUUAAUCGGGGCAGGGUGAGUCGACCCCUAAGGCGAGGCCGAAAGGCGUAGUCGAUGGGAAACGGGUUAAUAUUCCCGUACUUGGUGUUACUGCGAAGGGGGGACGGAGAAGGCUAUGUUGGCCGGGCGACGGUUGUCCCGGUUUAAGCGUGUAGGUGUGUGUUCCAGGUAAAUCCGGUUCACUUUAACACUGAGGCGUGACGACGAGGCACUACGGUGCUGAAGCAACAAAUGCCCUGCUUCCAGGAAAAGCCUCUAAGCAUCAGGUAACAUCAAAUCGUACCCCAAACCGACACAGGUGGUCAGGUAGAGAAUACCAAGGCGCUUGAGAGAACUCGGGUGAAGGAACUAGGCAAAAUGGUGCCGUAACUUCGGGAGAAGGCACGCUGACACGUAGGUGAAGUGGUUUACCCAUGGAGCUGAAGUCAGUCGAAGAUACCAGCUGGCUGCAACUGUUUAUUAAAAACACAGCACUGUGCAAACACGAAAGUGGACGUAUACGGUGUGACGCCUGCCCGGUGCCGGAAGGUUAAUUGAUGGGGUCAGCGCAAGCGAAGCUCCUGAUCGAAGCCCCGGUAAACGGCGGCCGUAACUAUAACGGUCCUAAGGUAGCGAAAUUCCUUGUCGGGUAAGUUCCGACCUGCACGAAUGGCGUAAUGAUGGCCAGGCUGUCUCCACCCGAGACUCAGUGAAAUUGAACUCGCUGUGAAGAUGCAGUGUACCCGCGGCAAGACGGAAAGACCCCGUGAACCUUUACUAUAGCUUGACACUGAACAUUGAGCCUUGAUGUGUAGGAUAGGUGGGAGGCUUUGAAGCGUGGACGCCAGUCUGCGUGGAGCCGACCUUGAAAUACCACCCUUUAAUGUUUGAUGUUCUAACGUGGACCCGUAAUCCGGGUUGCGGACAGUGUCUGGUGGGUAGUUUGACUGGGGCGGUCUCCUCCUAAAGAGUAACGGAGGAGCACGAAGGUUGGCUAAUCCUGGUCGGACAUCAGGAGGUUAGUGCAAUGGCAUAAGCCAGCUUGACUGCGAGCGUGACGGCGCGAGCAGGUGCGAAAGCAGGUCAUAGUGAUCCGGUGGUUCUGAAUGGAAGGGCCAUCGCUCAACGGAUAAAAGGUACUCCGGGGAUAACAGGCUGAUACCGCCCAAGAGUUCAUAUCGACGGCGGUGUUUGGCACCUCGAUGUCGGCUCAUCACAUCCUGGGGCUGAAGUAGGUCCCAAGGGUAUGGCUGUUCGCCAUUUAAAGUGGUACGCGAGCUGGGUUUAGAACGUCGUGAGACAGUUCGGUCCCUAUCUGCCGUGGGCGCUGGAGAACUGAGGGGGGCUGCUCCUAGUACGAGAGGACCGGAGUGGACGCAUCACUGGUGUUCGGGUUGUCAUGCCAAUGGCACUGCCCGGUAGCUAAAUGCGGAAGAGAUAAGUGCUGAAAGCAUCUAAGCACGAAACUUGCCCCGAGAUGAGUUCUCCCUGAGACUUUAAGUCUCCUGAAGGAACGUUGAAGACGACGACGUUGAUAGGCCGGGUGUGUAAGCGCAGCGAUGCGUUGAGCUAACCGGUACUAAUGAACCGUGAGGCUUAACCUU